rnacentral:rRNA from 1 species
GAGUUUGAUCCUGGCUCAGGAUGAACGCUGGCGGCGUGCUUAACACAUGCAAGUCGAACGGGAAUUACUUUAUUGAAACUUCGGUCGAUUUAAUUUAAUUCUAGUGGCGGACGGGUGAGUAACGCGUGGGUAACCUGCCUUAUACAGGGGGAUAACAGUCAGAAAUGACUGCUAAUACCGCAUAAGCGCACAGAGCUGCAUGGCUCGGUGUGAAAAACUCCGGUGGUAUAAGAUGGACCCGCGUUGGAUUAGCUGGUUGGCGGGGUAACGGCCCACCAAGGCGACGAUCAGUAGCCGGCCUGAGAGGGCGACCGGCCACAUUGGGACUGAGACACGGCCCAGACUCCUACGGGAGGCAGCAGUGGGGAAUAUUGCACAAUGGGGGAAACCCUGAUGCAGCGACGCCGCGUGGAGGAAGAAGGUUUUCGGAUUGUAAACUCCUGUCGUUAGGGACGAUAAUGACGGUACCUAACAAGAAAGCACCGGCUAACUACGUGCCAGCAGCCGCGGUAAUAC